CCACGUGGGCCGAGGGGUAGAGGAGGAAAUUGAAGACGAAGGCGUUGGGACAGCGCCGCUGCUGCAGGAUGGUGUUUCCCUUCCUGUUUGCUGAUCCACUGGGGCUGUCCCAGAAAGAGAACUACAACGCUACUCUUUCCCAUGCCUUGCUUGUCCACAGGACUGACUCUGGAACUGUGUGAGGAGCUGCUGGACUACACAAUGCCCAAUAAACAUCUGUCACCUGACUGACAAACAGCUGCUUGGUUUGUGGGUGGUAGUUCCAAGGUGAACAAACAACAUGUUUGGAAAGCUGCUAUUCUGACAAGGCACUGAAAUUCCCAGCUCCAACCAAGAUUCUGGACUUCAGACUCGGCCACGUGAUGAGGGGAUAGAAGAGCGGCAACCUUCUGGCAUCUCUGUGGAUUUGGGCAAUUAUCAAACCUGUAACUAUCAUAAUAAAUUCACGUGAAAGGCCUUUGCUUAUUCCUCUGGCACCAGGCAAUUCUGGAUCCCAUGUUACAAUGAGGGUGUGGCAAGAGGAAUAUCCCCAAAAUGUAUUUAAAUGCUCAUCAAAUGUCUGGAUAGAGGUUUUAAAAGAUUUAAUUUGACUUAAAGAAAAUAAUAUUUCUCUUAUAGUCAAGAUUGUGGAUUAAGAUUU
rnacentral:lncRNA from 1 species